UACGUAGGGGGCAAGCGUUGUCCGGAUUUAUUGGGCGUAAAGAGCGUGUAGGCGGCUUUACAGGUCCGUUGUGAAAACUCGAGGCUCAACCUCGAGACGCCGGUGGAAACCGUAAGGCUAGAGUCCGGAAGAGGAGAGUGGAAUUCCGGGUGUAGCGGUGAAAUGCGCAGAUAUCAGGAAGAACACCAGUGGCGAAGGCGGCUCUCUGGGCCGGUACUGACGCUGAGACGCGAAAGCGUGGGGAGCGAACAGG
rnacentral:rRNA from 1 species